rnacentral:rRNA from 1 species
UACGGGAGGCAGCAGUGAGGAAUAUUGGUCAAUGGGCGAGAGCCUGAACCAGCCAAGUAGCGUGCAGGAUGACGGCCCUAUGGGUUGUAAACUGCUUUUAUAUAGGGAUAAAGUGACCCACGUGUGGGUUUUUGUAGGUACUAUAUGAAUAAGGACCGGCUAAUUCCGUGCCAGCAGCCGCGGUAAU